GAACCUUCGGGGAACGAUAACGGCGUCGAGCGGCGGACGGGUGAGUAAUGCCUAGGAAAUUGCCCUGAUGUGGGGGAUAACCAUUGGAAACGAUGGCUAAUACCGCAUGAUGCCUACGGGCCAAAGAGGGGGACCUUCGGGCCUCUCGCGUCAGGAUAUGCCUAGGUGGGAUUAGCUAGUUGGUGAGGUAAGGGCUCACCAAGGCGACGAUCCCUAGCUGGUCUGAGAGGAUGAUCAGCCACACUGGAACUGAGACACGGUCCAGACUCCUACGGGAGGCAGCAGUGGGGAAUAUUGCACAAUGGGCGCAAGCCUGAUGCAGCCAUGCCGCGUGUGUGAAGAAGGCCUUCGGGUUGUAAAGCACUUUCAGUCGUGAGGAAGGUGGUGUAGUUAAUAGCUGCAUCAUUUGACGUUAGCGACAGAAGAAGCACCGGCUAACUCCGUGCCAGCAGCCGCGGUAAUACGGAGGGUGCGAGCGUUAAUCGGAAUUACUGGGCGUAAAGCGCAUGCAGGUGGUUUGUUAAGUCAGAUGUGAAAGCCCGGGGCUCAACCUCGGAAUAGCAUUUGAAACUGGCAGACUAGAGUACUGUAGAGGGGGGUAGAAUUUCAGGUGUAGCGGUGAAAUGCGUAGAGAUCUGAAGGAAUACCGGUGGCGAAGGCGGCCCCCUGGACAGAUACUGACACUCAGAUGCGAAAGCGUGGGGAGCAAACAGGAUUAGAUACCCUGGUAGUCCACGCCGUAAACGAUGUCUACUUGGAGGUUGUGGCCUUGAGCCGUGGCUUUCGGAGCUAACGCGUUAAGUAGACCGCCUGGGGAGUACGGUCGCAAGAUUAAAACUCAAAUGAAUUGACGGGGGCCCGCACAAGCGGUGGAGCAUGUGGUUUAAUUCGAUGCAACGCGAAGAACCUUACCUACUCUUGACAUCCAGAGAACUUUCCAGAGAUGGAUUGGUGCCUUCGGGAACUCUGAGACAGGUGCUGCAUGGCUGUCGUCAGCUCGUGUUGUGAAAUGUUGGGUUAAGUCCCGCAACGAGCGCAACCCUUAUCCUUGUUUGCCAGCGAGUAAUGUCGGGAACUCCAGGGAGACUGCCGGUGAUAAACCGGAGGAAGGUGGGGACGACGUCAAGUCAUCAUGGCCCUUACGAGUAGGGCUACACACGUGCUACAAUGGCGCAUACAGAGGGCGGCCAACUUGCGAAAGUGAGCGAAUCCCAAAAAGUGCGUCGUAGUCCGGAUUGGAGUCUGCAACUCGACUCCAUGAAGUCGGAAUCGCUAGUAAUCGUGGAUCAGAAUGCCACGGUGAAUACGUUCCCGGGCCUUGUACACACCGCCCGUCACACCAUGGGAGUGGGCUGCAAAAGAAG
rnacentral:rRNA from 1 species